rnacentral:rRNA from 1 species
AGAGUUUGAUCAUGGCUCAGAACGAACGCUGGCGGCGUGCCUAACACAUGCAAGUCGAACGAGAAAGGGACUUCGGUCCUGAGUAGAGUGGCGCACGGGUGAGUAACACGUGGAUAACCUGCCCUGUGAUUCGGGAUAACAUUUCGAAAGGGGUGCUAAUACCGGAUAAGCCUACGGAGACUUUGGUCUCUGCAGGAAAAGAUUUAUCGUCACAGGAUGGGUCCGCGGUCCAUUAGCUAGUUGGUAGGGUAAUGGCCUACCAAGGCGACGAUGGAUAGCUGGUCUGAGAGGAUGAUCAGCCACACUGGAACUGAGACACGGUCCAGACUCCUACGGGAGGCAGCAGUGGGGAAUUUUGCGCAAUGGGGGAAACCCUGACGCAGCAACGCCGCGUGAAGGAUGAAGGCCUUUGGGUCGUAAACUUCUGUCAGAGGGGAAGAAAUGCCCGAAAGGGAGCUGACGGUACCCUCAAAGGAAGCACCGGCUAACUCCGUGCCAGCAGCCGCGGUAAUACGGAGGGUGCAAGCGUUGUUCGGAAUUAUUGGGCGUAAAGCGCAUGUAGGCGGUCUGUUAAGUCUGGUGUGAAAGCCCGGGGCUCAACCCCGGAAGUGCAUUGGAUACUGGCAGACUUGAGUAUGGGAGAGGAAAGUGGAAUUCCGAGUGUAGGAGUGAAAUCCGUAGAUAUUCGGAGGAACACCAGUGGCGAAGGCGGCUUUCUGGACCAAUACUGACGCUGAGAUGCGAAAGCGUGGGGAGCAAACAGGAUUAGAUACCCUAGUAGUCC